CUCUAGAGAGAAUCUGUAAAGCCCCCCUCAAGCCCACACAGAAACUUGCCACUGUGCGGGAUUAUCUGAUUCCAUCACUGGAAUACAGACUGGGAGUCCCUGGGAUUUCUAGGAAAAUCUUGGAGAGCGUUGAUGGGGCAAUUAGGUCGGCAGUAAAACGCUUCCUGCACUUACCAACCACCGGCAUGAAUAGCAUGUUUUUGUCCAUGCCCAUUAAAAAGGGAGGACUAGGAUUGCGUCCUCUCACUGCACAGCACAUGGCACGAGUAGCCGUUGGAGCUAACAACAUGAUGACCAGCAUGGACUGUCUCUCUAGAGUUGUAGCCGACACUACAACCCUGCGAAAGCCGCUGCUCUCGGCCCUGGAGCACUUCGCAGUCCCCGCAGCAACCAAAAGUGCUAUCCGGGAAGGAAAGCAGAACCUCCUUCGGGAGGAGAUCGCUCAGCUCUCGGAGACGUACCAUGGUAGCUGUCUCCCAUCCUUUAAAAAGGGGUCUCUGGUAAACUCCUGGCUGCGCGGCACUGGUGGCAUGUGUAGCCGGGACUACAUCACCGGGCUGAAGCUACGGUUCGGCGUCAUCGAAACUCGUAGCCAGAAGUGGAAGGGCCGGACUCCACAAAACCCGGAUGCGCUGCUGUGCAGACACUGCGGCCACCUCUCGGGCCACCGAGAAACGGCAGCUCACAUCUCACAGAAGUGUCCAACGACACAGGCGACGAUCAUCCAGAGACAUAACAAGAUUGUCAAUCUUGUUGGGGAUCGAGCGAAAAGAGAAGGCUUCGCGGUGCACGUCGAGCCGGCCAUCAAGUCAGGGGAUGCUGUAUACAAACCCGACUUGGUGUUGGUCAAAGACGACACAGCGCACAUCCUGGAUGUUGCGGCCCCCUGGGAAAAAGGGACCACCAUGCACGAAAAGCACGAACGGAAGAUUAGCAAAUACACCGUACUAACCGAGGACGUAAAAGCACUUUUUGACGUCCAAACUUGCACAGUCGGAGCCAUCAUAAUCGGUGCAAGUUCUAGUUGGUGCCCUUCGAAUAACAGAUCACUAAAAGCAUGCGGCCUGCACAUGCCUAAGAAGUUCAAGCGACUACUUUGCAGAGUUGCCCUCGAAGGCACCUGCAAAAUAUUCCAGAACUUCUUCACACUCACAUAAGCACCAAAAAAUAAAAACCAAAAAAAUCGAUAAAAUACGAAAAAACCAAAAACAUUAAAAACUAUUAAAAAACGGAAAAAAAAAUGCCUUGCAUGAAGUACUGCAUGAUGCCGCUGCUCUUCCCGUCCUACCGCUCAGGAGGCAGAGCAGAGGCACACUUAACUUUAUUUCUAGGCCUACUAAAGAAACCACCAGACGAUGGAACAACACGAACCAAUAACCAAGGACGAGACAAGAAACAGAAAGACGUUACGCUAAGACACCGCGGUUCGCCGAAAGCCGUACGCGAUGGAAGGCCAGUGACGACAGGUGUUAAAGCGCAUAACUAAGCGAACGGAACUAAGCGGGAGAACACACCACAAGUGGCAACCUCCCACAGAAGCCACUUACCCCCCGAAGCAGGUCCCAUAACAAUGUUCCCUACUCAACCUUCCCCUCACGGUCAUCAACACCCCCAUAAAAUUGUAAAACACGGAACCGGCCGUCACCCGGGCUGCACAGCAGUAUACUCUACCGCAUUGGAUCAUACUACUACUACUAUUAUAAUUAUCAUCAUCAUUAUUAUUAUUAUUACUAUCAUUAUUAUUAUUAUUAUUAUUACUAUUGUUACUAUUCUUAUUAUUAUUAUUAUUAUUAUUAUUAUUGUUUCUCAACGACUCAAUAAACGCCCAUUGGUACGCGUCACUAAUUAGGCUGACAGCAGCAGGCACUUUCCUCGUAGAGCGCCCUGCAAAUUCCGAAAUUAGCCAAAUGCCUCGUCAUCUAAUUAGUGACGCGUAUGAAUGGAUCAACAAGAUUCCUUCUGUCCCUAUCUACUAUCUAGCGAAACCACAGCCAAGGGAACGGGCUUGGCAAAAUCAGCGGGGAAAGAAGACCCUGUUGAGCUUGACUCUAGUCUGACUCUGUGAAGAGACAUGAAAGGUGUAGCAUAGGUGGGAGAUUGUCAAAUUGCCAUCGUUCGCGCGGUGGUCCGGUGAUCGCCAAUGAAAUACCACUACUUUGAUCGUUUCUUUACUUAUUCGGUAAAGCGAAAAAAUUGUGGCCAAUUUGGCGGUGUUUAUGUCGCUGUUGGUCAUUGUUUUCAUGUUAGAUUGAAGCUUUGUUUACAGCCGUCGCUUUGUGUCGCCAUUUGACGCAUUGUUGUACUGGGUUAUCCCGGUGUGUGGUGUAGUCAGUAUGGAUGAUCGGCGAUAGGUUUGAAGUGAUUCGCUCCGGAAACAGUGUCAGACGGGGAGUUUGACUGGGGCGGUACAUCUGUUAAACGAUAACGCAGGUGUCCUAAGGUAAGCUCAGCGAGGACAGAAACCUCGCUUAGAGUAAACGGGCACAAGCUUACUUGAUUUUGAUUUCCAGUACGAAUAGAAACCGCGAAAGCGUGGCCUAUCGAUCCUUUUGAUUGUGUAGAUUUCAUGCAAGAGGUGUCAGAAAAGUUACCACAGGGAUAACUGGCUUGUGGCAGCCAAGCGUCCAUAGCGACGUUGCUUUUUGAUCCUUCGAUGUCGGCUCUUCCUAUCAUUGCGAAGCAGAAUUCGCCAAGCGUUGGAUUGUUCACCCACCAAUAGGGAACGUGAGCUGGGUUUAGACCGUCGUGAGACAGGUUAGUUUUACCCUACUGAUGACAAGUCGUUGCGAUAGUAAUCCUGCUCAGUACGAGAGGAACCGCGGGAUCAGACAUUUGGUUCAUGCGCUCGGCUGAAAGGCCGGUGGCGCGAAGCUAGCAUCUGCAAGAUUAUGACUGAACGCCUCUAAGUCAGAAUCUUUUCUAGUCAUUGGCAACGAUAAGUUGCGUCCAGACUCGAUGCGAGGAAACGAUUAGGCUUUGCUAUACGGCGAAGCCAUUAUCAGACCACGGUAGCAGGCAGUAUGGGAUUGUUACGAAAAAGCAAUUUUUUGAAGUCAGUUGAAUUCAAUCAAACUGCUAACAAUUCCACUGCGAAUGACUCCAUUCGAAUCAAU
rnacentral:rRNA from 1 species